UCGCGCCGCCGCCACUCUUUCUGGUUCCCCUCGGGAUCCUCCCAGAUCCGAUCGAACCAACCCAGCCACUGUCCUGCUCCCGAUCCUAGUCCUCUCCGACCCCUCCCUGUUUUUCAGCGCCGCACAAAUCGCAGUAGCAGCAACCAAGGCCCCCUGCUCCCUGCCUCCUCCUCGUCGCCUGUGAAGCCCGAGCACGCCGCCACCCUGUUGACCGACAUCGACCAUGCCAGACCAGCCCCGGUGCCACUCUUGACGCCCGAGCACCGGCCAGCUUGUUGGAGCGAACCACUAGCACCUCCGGCCUCCUCUUCUUCACUCCGAGAACCCCAGCGCCAGCCGCCCUCCUCGAUCACCUAGCGUCACCGUCGAUGAGCUCCAUUCAAGAUGAGCACCGCCGCACCUUCUUCUUCUCCUUCCCAGUGUUCCCCCGUUCUUUUCAUUCUCUCAUCGCCCUUUCUCUUUUCUUCACCAGGAGCUCCCGCAAGACGCCUUGAACAAGACCCCAUGCGCUGAGUCGACCAGUUCGUGCCGCCGCCCUUGGCGUUUGCCGCCCGACGCCAUUCUUCGCUUGGCCUCGCUGCUGCUCCACCACGUCGCAACCGGAUCCGGCCUGAUUCGACCUCCUCAAGCCCAGUUCGCCCACCGCGCCAAGUUCCUCUAGAUGUUCGUCCCCAUUGCUGCAUCGAGUAGCAGCAACUCAUACAGAGGAGGAGGACGCCUCUGCCUCCACCACUCAUGGCGCCCUUGGAGUUCGCCAUCGGCAGCCGCCUUCUCCGGACCACGCCGCCCCCUCAGGCACCUCCCCGCGCUCUGUUCCGCCCGUUCCGGGCCAGUUCCCUUCAACCCCGUCGCCAGGAACCCCGUUGUCAAUCUCUACAUCGCCAUGAGGUGUGGUUGUUUCUAUCUUCAGAAACGAGCAGGUUGCCAGCUCGCCGGCGCCUCGCGUUGACCGAUUGCUUGCCUCCAGCGCAUCAUGGGCCAGUGCCUCCCCAAGGCCCAUGAGGCCUGGUGAGAACCGCAGCGCCCUCUUUUUUCGUCUUAAUGUUGCGCCUGUUACCCUGUUGGGCCUUUACUUAGUUUCAGCCCGCAUGCGGUUUUUUUCAGUUCUGCGUUUUAGUUUUAAUCCAGUGAGCUGCAGUUUUUACAGAAAAACCCCUCAUGUUCAUGCAUAUCCUAACUCACAAAUGGUGCUUCUUAGUAAAACAAAUUAUAUAUGAAAGUUGCUUAGAAUUUUGUCUAGUUUAAUAAUAUGCAACUUUUAUCUAUGUUUAAAAUUUUAAAAUGUUGUUUGUAUAAAUCUGCUUAAAUAACUUGCUAAAAUGGUUUAAUUCAUAACUAAAUAACCGUAGCUCGGUUCAAAUAAUCUUUAUAUGUAAAUGGGGUAGAAAAAUGCCUAGUUUAACAUGGUGUAAUCACUUUGCAUGUUUAACAACUCAAAAAUUGUGUUUAGGGUAGAACAGUACCAAACCUAAU
rnacentral:lncRNA from 1 species